rnacentral:misc_RNA from 1 species
AAAGGGGUGUGGGAGCAGUUUGGCAUGUCUGGAGAGUUCUGUUAAGUAUCUUCUUUGUGAAGGGGCAGGGGUUGUUUUCUUUGUUCGGGGAAUCCUUCCCUGGGAGCUGAGUUAGCCAUUUCUUUCCUUCUUUUGUUCUUUUACUGUUAUCUUGUGGAAUUGUAAUUGAGACAGUGAGAGGAGAUUGUUGCAUUGUUCAUCUGAAUAUUAAUAGAAAACUCAAUUCCAUUUUUACAUCCAGAUUGAUUUUAUUGUUUAGUUCCUUAAUCUACAAAAUUGGUCCGACUUGCCGU